UUUGAGCAGGAGCAGCCUGAGCUCACUGUGGGACAUCUCUAGACUUAAACACACUUCUAAAACUUAUCUUCAGCUAUGAUGAAUUUACUUCCUUAAAUAAAAUGUAUGAUCUGGUGACAAAAUAAGCUCCAUUUCCUUCAUAGGGAACAUUUAGUAGCAGAAAUAUGCUUGCUUUGUGAGGAUUCCAGGAAUUCUAAAUGCUCUGGAAGUAUUUCAAAGGACAGUGUCAGGGAAGCCUCAAGAAGACUGAGCAAUUUUUUAAAGAGAAAGGAUGCUGGUGGCAAAGAUAAGCCUAAGAACCCGGGAAUUACAACAAAUAAUCUUUGAAGCAUCCAUGUGGAAAGAGUUCUUGGGCAAGCCAAAGGAGCAGCAACUAAUCUUCUAAACCAUUUGGUGCAUCACAGUGCUGCAGCUCGAACCAGCAACUGCACCAGGGCACACGGAGAACCCAGGCAGGGACGUGAACAAAUUCCUGGAAUUUUGGACUUUUACAUUUCCACCUUGAUUAUUAUUUAUUACCAGGAGAGAUUUUCUCAAAAUCAGGUGUGUAAGCCAGUGAGGUGAUUCAUUCUGCAAUCAUUCUGCAAAGUUGCUUUUCAUGGAAGAUUAGUCCCAAACAAACAUU